UGCAAGUCGAGCGCGAAAGGCCUUCGGGUUGAGUAGAGCGGCGGACGGGUGAGUAACGCGUAGGAAUCUACCUGGUAGUGGGGGACAACAUGGUGAAAACCAUGCUAAUACCGCAUACGCCCUAUGGGGGAAAGCGGGGGACCUUCGGGCCUCGCGCUAUCAGAUGAGCCUGCGUAGGAUUAGCUUGUUGGUGAGGUAAAGGCUCACCAAGGCGACGAUCCUUAGCUGGUCUGAGAGGAUGAUCAGCCACACUGGAACUGAGACACGGUCCAGACUCCUACGGGAGGCAGCAGUGGGGAAUAUUGCGCAAUGGGCGAAAGCCUGACGCAGCCAUGCCGCGUGUGUGAAGAAGGCCUUCGGGUUGUAAAGCACUUUCAAUUGGGAAGAAAGGUUGCGUGUUAAUAGCACGUAGCUGUGACGUUACCUUUAGAAGAAGCACCGGCUAACUCCGUGCCAGCAGCCGCGGUAAUACGGAGGGUGCGAGCGUUAAUCGGAAUUACUGGGCGUAAAGCGCGCGUAGGCGGUUUGUUAAGUCGGAUGUGAAAUCCCCGGGCUCAACCUGGGAAUGGCAUUCGAUACUGGCCGACUAGAGUACGAGAGAGGGAGGUAGAAUU
rnacentral:rRNA from 1 species